rnacentral:rRNA from 1 species
UACGAAGGGGGCUAGCGUUGCUCGGAUUGACUGGGCGUAAAGGACGCGUAGGCGGUUCGUACAGUCAGACGUGAAAUUCCUGGGCUCAACCUGGGGGCUGCGUUUGAUACGUGCGGACUUGAGUGCGGAAGAGGGUCGUGGAAUUCCCAGUGUAGAGGUGAAAUUCGUAGAUAUUGGGAAGAACACCGGUGGCGAAGGCGGCGACCUGGUCCGAUACUGACGCUGAGGCGCGAAAGCGUGGGGAGCAAACAGG